UACGAAGGGGGCGAGCGUUGUUCGGAUUUACUGGGCGUAAAGGGCGCGCAGGCGGCGGACCAAGUCAGGCGUGAAAGCCCCGGGCUUAACCUGGGAGGUGCGUCUGAUACUGGAUGGCUGGAGUGUGGGAGAGGGAUGCGGAAUUCCAGGUGUAGCGGUGAAAUGCGUAGAUAUCUGGAGGAAUACCGGUGGCGAAGGCGGCAUCCUGGACCGAGAUUGACACUGAUGAGCGAAAGCUAGGGGAGCAAACGGG
rnacentral:rRNA from 1 species